UUCUGAGUUCAGUCAUCACACCUCUAUUGGAAAACUCGACUCCGCACAGCUGAAGAACUAGCCGACCGAGAGCCGUUCAAGGAAUCAUGGCCAAGCGUGUUGCAGUCAUUCUGUCAGGCUGUGGAGUGUAUGACGGCACAGAGGUCCACGAGGCCUCUGCCGUCCUUGUCCACCUGAGUCGUGCAGGAGCAAAAGUGCAGAUGUUUGCUCCAAAUGCAGAUCAGAUGCAUGUUGUAAACCACUGCGAGGGGAAACCCACAGAAGAGAAGAGAAAUAUCCUGCAGGAAAGCGCCCGUAUCGCCAGGGGUGAGGUGACUGAUCUGGCAGAGCUAGAUGUCUCAGCACUUGAUGCUGCCAUCAUCCCAGGGGGCUUCGGUGUGGCUAAGAACCUGAGUGACUGGGCAGUGAAGAAUAAGGACUGUGCCAUCCAGCCAAAUGUAGAGAAGGUCAUCAAGGCCUUCCACAAAGCUGGAAAGCCGCUGGGUAUGUGCUGCAUCGCGCCCAUUCUAGCUGCAAAAAUCCUGCCGGGCUGCGAGCUCACCGUGGGGCAGGACAAAGAGUGUGACAAGUGGCCAUAUGCUCAGACAGCAGGUGCCCUGAAGGAUUUGGGCUGCAAACACGUGAACAAAGAUGUGGAAGAAGUUCAUGUUGAUGCCAAAAACAAGCUGGUGACCACCUCUGCCUUCAUGUGCAACGCUCCCAUUCACAAAGUCUAUGAUGGAAUAGGUGUCAUGGUUAAAGAAACACUGAAACUGGCAUAACAAGAGUUUAAUCACAUUACUGAUCCAUGCGGUGCUUUCUUCUUUCCUUUUUUCUAUCAAGCUUAUCAAGCUCUCUUACCUAUUUCCUACUUUUGUUUUGACCUGAUGUGAAACUUUGAAUGCAAUAAAAUUUCAAUAAAACAUUAUCUAACA